GCACGCUCCAUGUGCAUUACAUCCCUCCCGAAGCUAAGCACUCCCUUGAAGAGGACGACCUUCCCCGAUCGAGGAGGACCAUUCUUCCGUCAAGGGUAUAGGAGUAGCUGAGCUCUUCUGCAAGAAUCUCCAAACAAAUUCUCAAAGCCUAUUUAAAAUUGCAUAAGGUUCAACUGUUGGAGAAGACUUACUGAUCUUCCUCUGGAUGUCUGAAGCA
rnacentral:snRNA from 1 species